rnacentral:rRNA from 1 species
AGAGUUUGAUCCUGGCUCAGAUUGAACGCUGGCGGCAUGCCUUACACAUGCAAGUCGAACGGCAGCGCGUCCUUCGGGAUGGCGGCGAGUGGCGAACGGGUGAGUAAAGCAUCGGAACGUGUCCGGUAGUGCGGGAUAGCUCGGCGAAAGCCGGAUUAAUACCGCAUGAGAUCCGUGGAUGAAAGCAGGGGACCCCUUGUGGGCCUUGCGCUACUGGAGCGGCCGAUGUCAGAUUAGGUAGUUGGUAGGGUAAAGGCCUACCAAGGCGACGAUCAGUAGCGGGUCUGAGAGGAUGAUCCGCCACACUGGGACUGAGACACGGCCCAGACUCCUACGGGAGGCAGCAGUGGGGAAUUUUGGACAAUGGGGGCAACCCUGAUCCAGCCAUUCCGCGUGAGUGAAGAAGGCCUUCGGGUUGUAAAGCUCUUUCAGCCGGAAAGAAACGGUACGCUCUAACAUAGCGUGCUAAUGACGGUACCGGCAGAAGAAGCACCGGCUAACUACGUGCCAGCAGCCGCGGUAAUACGUAGGGUGCGAGCGUUAAUCGGAAUUACUGGGCGUAAAGCGUGCGCAGGCGGAUUAUUAAGCAAGACGUGAAAGCCCCGGGCUUAACCUGGGAAUGGCGUUUUGAACUGGUAGUCUAGAGUGUGUCAGAGGGGGGUGGAAUUCCACGUGUAGCAGUGAAAUGCGUAGAUAUGUGGAGGAACACCAAUGGCGAAGGCAGCCCCCUGGGAUAACACUGACGCUCAUGUACGAAAGCGUGGGUAGCAAACAGGAUUAGAUACCCUGGUAGUCCACGCCCUAAACGAUGUCAACUGGUUGUUGGGGGAGUGAAAUCCCUUAGUAACGAAGCUAACGCGUGAAGUUGACCGCCUGGGGAGUACGGUCGCAAGAUUAAAACUCAAAGGAAUUGACGGGGACCCGCACAAGCGGUGGAUGAUGUGGAUUAAUUCGAUGCAACGCGAAAAACCUUACCUACCCUUGACAUGUCCGGAAUCCUGCAGAGAUGCGGGAGUGCCCGAAAGGGAAUCGGAACACAGGUGCUGCAUGGCUGUCGUCAGCUCGUGUCGUGAGAUGUUGGGUUAAGUCCCGCAACGAGCGCAACCCUUAUCAUUAGUUGCUACGCAAGGGCACUCUAAUGAGACUGCCGGUGACAAACCGGAGGAAGGUGGGGAUGACGUCAAGUCCUCAUGGCCCUUAUGGGUAGGGCUUCACACGUCAUACAAUGGUCGGUACAGAGGGUUGCCAAGCCGCGAGGUGGAGCCAAUCCCAGAAAGCCGAUCGUAGUCCGGAUUGUUCUCUGCAACUCGAGAGCAUGAAGUCGGAAUCGCUAGUAAUCGCGGAUCAGCAUGUCGCGGUGAAUACGUUCCCGGGUCUUGUACACACCGCCCGCCACACCAUGGGAGUGGAAUCUGCCAGAAGUAGGUAGCCUAACCGCAAGGAGGGCGCUUACCACGGUGGGUUUCAUGACUGGGGUGAAGUCGUAACAAGGUAACCGUA